AAUGCCUCUGAGAAAGAAUUUUUAAAAUAAAACUCAGUAUGAAAGUUUUUCUUCUUCUAGCAAAUUUGAAACAGUCAGAUGAGAAGUAAACAGCCAGAACACGUAGUUGCUAAUGAUAGACAGUGAGUCAUAGACAGUGCUGUUCUGAACGUUGCCAACGUGAUUAUCAGGAAAAGUAUUAGGAGUGAGGCAGUGUGUAACAAAGAGCUGAGCUCAAUAAUUUGCCAGUGAUCCUUUAGAGUUCAGAGGAGUACCUUUCCCUUGGCCUCCACAGCUUUAGGAAUGAAAAAACAGAGUUGGACAAAAUAUCAUGGAUCCAGCAUAUGUGAAAGAAAAUGUUGUGCAAGACUUGACAUAUGAAGCUCCACUAGCUAUCUUACAACCAUGAAGACAAAAGCCAGUGCACUAAAAAUCAUGGAUCAAAAGAAGAGAAACAACUGAGUUUUUUUGUAAUAUUCAGCCCAAAAUUGUCUGCCUUUGAAUUUUUAAUCAUGUGAGAAAAAUAUAUUUCUAUUUGUUCCAGCAGCUGUAAGUUGAGUUUCAUGUUAUUUACUGUUGAAUACAUUCCCAACUGACAUCACCUCCAUGGUAUAAACCUCACCCUACACCCCAUAAUGUUUUACUAUAGUAGACUGAUAAGCCCAAGGAAAAAAUAGUGUACCUGUCAGAAAAGUGAUAGAGUAAAGCCUUGUGAUGCACAAAAUCAACUUUGUAAAUAGUGAAACAUAAGUCAGGUUUGCAAAUUGUGAAACACAAGUUUCUAUUUUUCUAUAGCAGUAUAAGAA
rnacentral:lncRNA from 1 species